rnacentral:rRNA from 1 species
AAAAAGCUCGUAGUUGGAUCUCAACAGCCUUGAAGCGGUUAACUUUGUAGUUUUACUGCUUUAUAGGCUGUGCUUUUGCUGGAGGUUUAGGGGUGCUCUUGAUCGAGUGUCUCUGGAUGCCAGCAGGUUUACUUUGAAAAAAUUAGAGUGCUCAAAGCAGGCUAAAAUGCCUGAAUAUUCGUGCAUGGAAUAAUAGAAUAGGGUGUCGAUCCUAUUUUGUUGGUUUUCGGGACUCGACAUGAUGAUAAAUAGGGACAGUCGGGGGCAUUUGUAUUCAAACGACAGAGGUGAAAUUCUUGGACCGUUUGAAGACAAACUACUGCGAAAGCAUUUGCCAAGAAUGUUUUCAUUAAUCAAGAACGAAAGUUAGAGGUUCGAAGGCGAUUAGAUACCGCCCUAGUUCUAACCAUAAACGAUGCCAGCUAGCGAUCUGCCUGCGUUUUUACUGUAGACUGGGCAGGAAGCUUCCGGGAAACCAAAGCAUUUGGGUUCCAGGG